AUUCCUGGAGUUAGGCCUUCAACCAAAGAGCUGGGCCAUCCGUGGCAAUGCCUCCCAGGCUUGGGAGCUGGGAAAAGGCCCCAGGAGCUAGGGCAUCCUGAUUGUUCUUUCAAAGAAAUCCCUCUUGUUCUUAGUCAACAUGCUGGAUACCAGCUAAAAAAUGCAAAAUGAUCUUCAGGCAGGGAUGGCACAGGACCCUUGCUGAGCUGUGAAGCCUGGCUGUGAGGAUUCCUGCAUGGAAACAUCAACAUGUUGCCAGAUUGGUAUACGACUCAACACCACACUGACAUGCUGCUCCCAAACAGUGCCUUUGAAUCAAGACCCAGUCAUCGUAUUCGAAGAAAAAGGAAAUAUCCCUGACCAUGUUGGGACUUAACACUGCUUCACAGAGUCCAUGGAGUUCCUGGUGACUAAUGCCAUCCACAAGAUCUGAAGGUGUUGUGUAACCUAGACCUGGCCCUUCUCUCAGUGCAUCCCCCUCUCCAGAGUGACCAACUCAGAGAGGUCAUGUGCUUAAGGGUGAGAACCACUACAGGACAAAAAUGAGCUCCUUUUUUCCAGUCUCAGCCCAGGAGGGAUCUUCACAGAGAAAGCAAGCCCAGCCCAUCCCCACAGCUGGCUCCCUGGUGCCCAUUCUGAAAGGCUGGACCCAUCCUGACCUGUCCCUGCCCCAAGGACUGCCUGGUGAGGGAUGGCUUACCAACACUGUGACUCAGUCCUUCCAACAUGCCCAACAGGUCAAUUCUGGGAUAUUCCUUACAGGAAUUAAUGAGAGCACAUUGCCGGUAAUGUUGGCAUUAGUAGAUUACAUUUAAAUUUAAAAAUUCCUUUUAUGGGGUUUAAGAAUAGAGACAAGACACCCAUGCAAUAAAGAAAGGAGGAGACUUUGCCUGGUCUAAUGGAGAAGCUGGAGCUGCAUUGUUGGGUACAGUGGCCAGUGGCUACACCUGGCUUUUGAGCCCUUGCACAGUGGCAAGGACACAUUGAGAUGUGCCCUAGGUGCAAGAUACACACAGGAUUUCAAAGACUGAGUAUGAAAAAAGAAGAAAAAAUGUCUCAUUAAUAUUUUUAUAUUGGUUGCAUGUGGAAGUGAUAACAUUUUGGAUAUAAAGUUGACCUUUGAACAGUAUGGGUUUGAACUGCACAGGUCUGCUUAUAAGUGAAAUUUCUUCUGCCUCUGCCACCCCUGAGACAGCAAGACCAACCCUCCACUUCCUCCUCCUCCUCCUCCUCCUCAACCUGCUCAACGUGAAGAUGAUGAAGAUCAAGACCUUCAUGAUGAUCUACUUCCACUUAAUGAAUAGUAAAUAUAUUUUCUCUUCCUUGUGAUUUUCUUAAUAACGUUUUCUUUCCUCUAGCUUAUUUUGUUGUAAGGAUACAGUGGUAUAUAAUAUUUAUAACAUACAAAAUAUGUGUUAACCAACUCUGCUAUCAGUAAGGCUUCUGAUCAACAGUAUGCUAACAUUUUUGGACAGUAGUUAAGUUUGGGCAGAGUCAAAAGUUAUAGGCAGAUUCUUGAUUGUGUGGGGUAUUGGCAUCCCUAAUCUCUGCACUGUUCAAGGGUAAACUGCAUUAGCUGAAAUAAAGCAUAUUCUUAAAAUGAA
rnacentral:lncRNA from 1 species